rnacentral:rRNA from 1 species
AAUAGAUACCCCGGUAGUCCACGCCGUAAACGUUGGGCGCUAGGUGUGGGGCUCAUUCCACGAGUUCCGUGCCGCAGCUAACGCAUUAAGCGCCCCGCCUGGGGAGUACGGCCGCAAGGCUAAAACUCAAAGGAAUUGACGGGGGCCCGCACAAGCGGCGGAGCAUGUUGCUUAAUUCGAUGCAACGCGAAGAACCUUACCUAGGCUUGACAUGCACGGAAAUCUCCCAGAGAUGGGGGGUCCGUAAGGGCCGUGCACAGGUGGUGCAUGGUUGUCGUCAGCUCGUGUCGUGAGAUGUUGGGUUAAGUCCCGCAACGAGCGCAACCCUCGUCCUAUGUUGCCAGCACGUGAUGGUGGGGACUCAUAGGAGACUGCCGGGGUCAACUCGGAGGAAGGUGGGGAUGGACGUCAAAUCAUCAUGCCCCUUAUGUCUAGGGCUGCAAACAUGCUACAAUGGCCGGUACAAAGGGCUGCGAUACCGCGAGGUGGAGCGAAUCCCAAAAAGCCGGUCUCAGUUCGGAUUGGGGUCUGCAACUCCG